GUCUACGGUCAUUCCACCCUGAACAAGCCCAAUCCCAUCUGAUCUCAGAAGCUAAGCAGGGUUGGGCCUGGUCACCUGGAUGGGAGACCACCGAGGAAGACCAGGUGCUGUAGGCG
rnacentral:rRNA from 1 species